UCACGGUUUGCACCGGCAGUCUUGUUAGAGUUCCCGACAUGACUCGCUGGCAACUAACAACAGGGGUUGCGCUCGUUAUAGGACUUAACCUGACACCUCACGGCACGAGCUGACGACAACCAUGCAGCACCUUGUAAUCUGCCCGAAGGAGGACCUGUUUCCAAGCCUGUCAGACUACAUUUAAGCCCUGGUAAGGUUCCUCGCGUAUCAUCGAAUUAAACCACAUGCUCCACCGCUUGUGCGGGCCCCCGUCAAUUCCUUUGAGUUUCAAACUUGCGUUCGUACUCCCCAGGUGGGAUACUUAUCACUUUCGCUUAGCCACUCAGCAUUGCUGCCGAACAGCUAGUAUCCAUCGUUUACGGCGUGGACUAC
rnacentral:misc_RNA from 1 species